UUUUCACGUCUUUAUUUAUAUUAUUUUAAGUUCAGACGCCGGGAAGAUUGCAGUCAGAGCACUGCGCAAAAUUAAGCAAAAUGACCUGGCUGAUCAGUUGAAGGGAAAACUUCAGGAAGUUUCAGAGGAUGUUUCCGCUGAAGGCGGAGCUUCAUCCAGUGCAGCAGCUGCAAAACCUUCAAAGACAGGCGUUACAGUGACCAUAAACUCAGGCAGUGGAGGAACCGUAAAGGCCCCUGUUCUUCAGGGUGGUGUUUUUCACGGCCCAAUGACCUUUAACUAAUGCUCAAGGAUCUUAUAAAAAUGAUUUUAAGGGCUCGAAUGAAGAGAAACUAAAGUGAAGUAUUUACUGAAGUAACUGAAAUUAUUCAGAUCUACAUUGUUUUCGAAUGCAUAUUAUGUUUACAGCUCUGUUAAAUUUGACAGCAAUUUUUGUUUUCAUUUAGUCAUAUUUUAGUCAUCUAAAUCUAGUUUUAGUCAACUAAAUCUACAGUAGAUAGUCAAGGUUAAGUAAGCAUUCCCCUAAAAUUUCAAAACUCAUUAUAUAUUCCUGGAGAAAACAUCUAUUAAAAUGGUAAUAUGAAUGAUUUGAAAAUGCAGCAAACAGAUUUAACUGCUGUGACACAUAACGUGUCUUCAUCAAAAAAUUAAAUAAAACUACAAUGAAACAAUAACAUGGUCCUCGUUUCAAUGAAAUACCAAUUGUUAUAUAAUAUGUAUUCUUUAUAAUAACUUGCAUACAACAUUCUUCAUUCUUUCAAGCAGAAAUAUUUAUUUGCAUAAAUUAAAUUUAGAUCAAUCCUCAUUAGAGCCACUAAAGUGAUUCAUUUUCUUUCUUUCUUUUGUUUGUUCAUUAACAAUCAUGACACAGACAACAAUAACUAAAUUAGUCUGCUGCCCCUUUAAAGCUGAUUGUAAGGAUCCAAUAUACUGGCAAUAUUAGAGAUGGUCUUAAUAUUGGGAGAUAAGAGGGUCUGUAUUAAUUACUAUUGGAGAAAGCAUACUGGCUAACUUGGAUCACAUGUGAUAUAAAAACAGCAUUUUUUUUCUAUGGUAACUACUAAAAUUAAAGUUCUAUUCCUAAAACUAAAUUAGUCUCCAAAAACGAACUGUUUAUUUCUAGCAUAG
rnacentral:lncRNA from 1 species